AAAGGAGCGGACAGACAAAGCAAACAUGAUGAUGGUUGUACUGAUUAACAGCUAGCCUGGACAGCCUUCGGUUUUGCAUGUGUGUGUGUGUGUGUGUGUGUGUGUGUGUGUGUGCGCGCUGGACAAGGGAUGCAACCGGGUUCUCAUCGUCUCUCAGCAGGCUCCUGCUUGGACCCGAAUGAGCUGAGAAAGAAGAGUGGCCAAGUGCUUUCCCUGUCUCCCGUGAUCGAGCUGUGUGCCUCAACUUCCUAUCGGAUUCCGGAAUACCUCCCUCGAUCCACGACUCCUGCUUGGACGUAGACCUUUUGAUGCCCCCCCCCCCCGACAACCUGCCUGUCUCACGGACAUUGGACCCUGCCUUUCCCCUCCAGGACUGCCGCCUCUCGCUCAACACACACGAUUCCUUGCUGGCUUCCGAGCAGACUGGCAGCCUCCACAAAAGUCGAAACCAACGCCCACUUGAAUGCAGCUCAAAGAGUUUGCCAGGAGGUUUGCCAGCAAGGACGGGGGAAGGCCAAAAACCUUUGCACAAAGGGACUAGCAUUGUAAGCAGGAUGUAAUGAAGCAGACAUAUCAUGCUAAGCAACCCACUUACUCCUCCACUGUUUACUGUUCACACAGCAAACAUUACACACGCCUUGUUGUGACAUCUGGAUUUGGCGUGAUCACACAUGCCGGAACGCCAUGUUGACGCCUAAUCUUUAAACAUGACCUUUAAAAGCCUACUGAAAUGAGAUGUUCUUAUUCAAACGGGGAUAGCAGGUCCAUUCUAUGUGUCAUACUUCAUCAUUUCGUGAUAUUGCCAUAUUUUUGCUAAAAGGAUUUAGUAGAGAACAUCAACGAUAAAGUUCGCAACUUUUGGUCGCUAAUAAAAAAGCCUUGCCUUUACCGGAAGUAGCAGACGAUGACGUCACAAGGGUGAGGGCUCCUCACAUCCUCACAUUGUUUAUAAUGGGAGCCUCCAACAAAAAGAGCUGUUCGGACCGAGAAAACGACAAUUUCCCCACUAAUUUGAGCGAGGAUGAAGGACUAGCGAAGGACUAGGAACAUUUAAAUAAGAAAAAAAAAGGCGAUUGGAUUGGGACGGAUUCAGAUGUUUUUAGACACAUUUACUAGGAUAAUUCUGGAAAAUCCCUUAUCUUUCUAUUGUGUUGCUAGUGUUUUAGUAAGUUAAAUAGUACCUGAUAGUCGAAGGGGCGUGGCCACGAGUGUGUUGACGCCAGUCUCUGAGGGAAGUCACAAAGCUGCAUGGACGGCGCAAGCUCCGCUGAUCUCCGGUAAGAGUCGACUUUUUACCACAAUUUCUCACUGAAACC